UACGUAGGGUGCAAGCGUUAAUCGGAAUUACUGGGCGUAAAGCGUGCGCAGGCGGUUAUGUAAGACAGUUGUGAAAUCCCCGGGCUCAACCUGGGAACUGCAUCUGUGACUGCAUAGCUAGAGUACGGUAGAGGGGGAUGGAAUUCCGCGUGUAGCAGUGAAAUGCGUAGAUAUGCGGAGGAACACCGAUGGCGAAGGCAAUCCCCUGGACCUGUACUGACGCUCAUGCACGAAAGCGUGGGGGAGCAAACAGGAUUAGACUACCCGUG
rnacentral:rRNA from 1 species